AUGACGACGAUGUCACCUUCAUCUGGGAGGGCACUCACUGACAGGAAUAUAAGCACGAGUUCACUACGUUUGGACAGCAUGUCCGAACAGACAAUGAUGAUGCAGUUGAACACGAUGUUGCAGCAGAUGAUGAAUAUGAUUAUGACUAUGAUGAUGUGCCACCGCUCCAAAAUUUUCAAACCAAUCCACUUAGACAUCGUCACAACAUUGGAUUACCACCACGUCCACCUGCUGCACCCCAAAACAGAGCUCAGCGUCCACCUGCUGCACCGAAAAACAGAGCUCCAAGCAGACCUGCUGCAUCAACUUCGACACGGCGACCACCAACGGUGCCUCGGUCAAAAGUCAAUAGCAGCAUUAAAAACUAUCCUCCCACAUACUCUGCAUAAGUUGUGUCGGUGGCAUAUCAUGAAGAAGUACAAAGACCACCUCGCCUUACUGUAUAAGGCGCACGAGAAACUCAAGGAUGACCUCAAUGCGGUGCUGAACCACACACUAAUGCCGUCAGAAUUUGAACGAGCAUGGAAGGACCUCAUUCAGAGAUACAACUUGCAAGAUGAUGAAGUAAUGAAUUUGCUGUGGGAUGACAGGCACGAGUGGAUCUCGGCUUACUACAAGGAAAUUUUCUAUGCUCGGAUGACUUCCACACAGAGAAGCGAGAGCAUGAACCACAUACUGAAGAAAAACUUUGUCAAAGAGAAGCAUGAUCUCCAUUUGUUUGCUCAGCAGGUGGACAAGUGCAUUCAGACCAGGAAGGCCGUCGAGCAUACAGAGACAGUAGCAAAUGAGUCAGAGGUAAAGACAACAACCCAGUUUGGGUUCGAAGUUCAGCUAUCAAAACUGUAUACAAGGGCAGUGUUUGCAGAUUUCAAAGAAACACUCUACCGUAGAAUUGCAUUCAGUGCAGAACGGUGCCCUGAGAACCUGACAAAGUAUCUCGUACACCACUACAACAGAUCGGAUGCAUUUGACUGGGCAAGGCAUAAUUUCCAAGUGGUCGCCGAUGAACAGAAAGGUGUCUACGAAUGGCUCUUUUGCAUCCAUGUGUUAUGCAUGCUUUCUCAUUUGAGAGUACUCAAGAUUCCUGAGGUGUACAUCAUGAAAAGAUACACCCGUAACAUAAGAUCAAAUGCAAUAUUUGACAGAAGAGACUAUGAACAAACAGCACCAGAUGGAACCUCGCUUUUUUGCCGUAGAAAAUUGCUGACAGAAACAGCAAUGGACCUUGCAAACAGAGCGACAAGGUCCGACGGUGGGUGCCACAGAGCGUUGUCUGGUAUGAGGGCACUGAUCGAGGAAGUUGAUGUGCUCAACAAAGAAGAAGAAGAAGCAGCAAAACUAAAGCAAGCAGAGAAAUCCCAACAUGACAAUAAUGCCGAGCAAGUAGAAAAUAGCGAACACAACGGAACUGGUGCUAUCAAAAAAGAAACAAUUCUUCCACCUCCUGUUUCAAACACAAGAGGAAGGAAGAAAGGGGGCGACGCAACCCAGAAAAAGGUUGCAUGCAAGGAGAAAAAUGAUGACAAAAAUAGUAAGCCACAGCCUGAGCUGGACAGUGAUGGUCACCCACUGGGAAUAAGAAAGUGCAAGACAUGUAAUGAAAUCAGCGGCCACAAUUCCAGGACAUAGGACGAGACACAAUCAAGAACCUGCCCCAAAAGAACAAGAUCAGAAAAUGAGGAAGACGAAGAAGAUGAAAUCAAAGAAGAAGAUGGUGACACAACUGAAGAAGAAAUGGCUUAUGAAGAAGCAGAUGAAGAAGAGGAGGAAGAAGAGAGUGAAGAGGAUGAAGAACAUGAAGAAACUGAAGAAGUAGUGGCUUAUGAAGAAACAGAUGAUGAAGAUGAGAAAGAGGAAGAAGAGGAGGAAGAAGAGAGUGAAGAGGACGAAGAACAUGAAGAGACACUGCCAACAAGACCACCACAAGGGAAUGCUGCUGUACAGAAACAACCGAGAACGACACCACUUCCAAAAAACAAGGUAGGAGCACGAAAGGAUGCAGUUCACAGCGCUGGAAAACGAAAGCCACCAUCAACCAGCACGCGGGGAGCAAAGAAGGAUGCAGUUCACAUCACUGAAAAACAAAAUCCACCAUCAACCAGCACGCGGGGAGCAAAGUAG
rnacentral:rRNA from 1 species